AGGCUUGGGUAUUUUAAUUUAAAAUAUUGUUUUGUGGAAUCAAUGAUAUGAAGUUUUUCAUCUUAGGCC
rnacentral:tRNA from 1 species